rnacentral:rRNA from 1 species
AUUGAACGCUGGCGGCAGGCCUAACACAUGCAAGUCGAGCGAGCGGCGGACGGGUGAGUAAUGUAUGGGGACUGCCCGAUAGAGGGGGAUAACUACUCGAAACGGUAGCUAAUAUCGCACACUAUCGGAUAACCCAUAUGGGAUUUGCUAGUAGGUGGGGUAAUGGCGCACCUAGGCGACGAUCCCUAGCUGGUGUGAGAGGAUGAUCAGCCACACUGGGACUGAGACACGGCCCAGACUACUACGGAGGCAGCAGUGGGGAAUAGUGCACAAUGGGCGCAACCCUGAUGCAGCCAGGCCGCGUGUAUGAAGAAGGCCCUCGGGUUGUAAAGGACUUUCAGUCGGGAAGCGUUAUCGACAGAAUAAGCACCGGCUAACUCCGUGCCAGCAGCCGCGGUAAUUC